rnacentral:rRNA from 1 species
UACAGAGACUGCAAGCGUUGUUCGGAUUCAUUGGGCGUAAAGGGUGCGCAGGCGGUUUGUUAAGUCGGAUGUGAAAUCUCACAGCCUAACUGUGAUAGGUCAUUCGAAACUGGCAGACUUGAGGAUUGGAGAGGAGACUGGAAUAGUUGGUGUAGCAGUGAAAUGCGUAGAGAUCAACUAGCACACCGGUGGCGAAGGCGAGUCUCUGGACAAUUCCUGACGCUCAGGCACGAAAGCCAGGGGAGCAAACGGG